GAACGCAUAUUGCGCCCUUUGGCAUUCCGAAGGGCAUACCUGUUCGAGCGUCAUUACACCCCUCAAACUUAACUGUUUGAUGUUGGGCAAUGCCUGGAGGCAUGCCUAAAAUUUAGCGAUGGUACAUUAACCCUCAAGCGCCCAAAUGUCGUUAUGUAGGCGAGAUGGCACCAGUCUCAUGAAUUUCUGAAUGUUGACCUCGGAUCAGGUAGGGAUACCCGCUGAACUUAAG
rnacentral:misc_RNA from 1 species